rnacentral:lncRNA from 1 species
AACGAAACGAAACGAAACGAAACGAAAUGAAACUUAACUAAACGAAACUAAACGAAACUAAAUGGAACUGAAAAAUGGGCUGACUUAUCCCAAUUUAAUUAUAUUAUCACAUUUUGAAGAAAAAAAAAAAAAAAAAAAAAAAAAAAAAAAAAAAAAAAUAAAACAUAUGAUUUUUUUUUUUUUUUAAUAUUUAACAAUUCAUUAUGUAACAAUUCAUUAUGUAACAAUUGAUUAUUUAACAAUUGAUUAUUUAACAAUUGAUUACUUAACAGUUGAUUACUUAACAAUUGAUUACUUAACAAUAAGUAUUGUUUGGUAUGUUACAGAAAAACAAAAGAAAUCUUUUUGAAAAAAGCAAUUGUAAAGUUACAAAAUAUUUAUAUUUUACAAUUUUCUUUUAAAUAAAUAUAUAAAUAUAUAUGAAUUGUUUUUUUUU